GUGGGAUAAUAGAGCAUCUCGAAAAUUCGAAAUCCCCUAUAUGAUCCCCCACUCCUUUAUAGCAGAGCUUCUCCAAUCAUUAAUCAUCAUUCAUCAAAUUGUUGUGAUUUUUCAGGAGAUGAUUAAAGGUAAAAGGAGUAACCUGACUGCAGUUCUCAUUUUCUUAGAGAUUCAGGGAGAGAAAGGACAUUAGGAGGCAUGUUGAAGUGAUAACAAGAGGCAGGCUUUCAGACAUCGAAGCUGCUGAAUCGCUGGGUCCUGAUGGUUCUGCGCCGAAAAUUGUUGCUCCUGUUGGGUUUGUUGUGUUCAGAAUUGAUGAACUUGUGCUGUAAUUAUGAAAUAUGGAACAAUCGGCUUUGCCAUAUCCACAGGCAUAGUCAAGCGCAACUUGUAAGGCUGGUUGUGAAGCACUCUGGCUGGCGACACACCAACUUCCCCCUGAUGAUGAUGCAGCAGUUGAAGGAUUAUUUGGAUUUGUC